UCUACCCCAUAUUUUUGGGACUAACGAACCAAAGAUUUUAUUUCUCUUCAAUUAGAAAAUUUUUCGUCACCAAAGUCACCACCUUUAUCUGCUUGGGCAUAUAUCUACUUGAAAAAUUAUCUAAUACGAUGACGAAUACCUUCAAUUAUCAUUAGUGUAUUAGUUUGCUUUAUUUACUUUCUAAUCAUCAAUUACCUUCUGACUUAUAUUUUACCGUAAGUACAUUUCUGCUAAGCAAAUAACUAAAAAAUUUAAACACUAACGAAGUCGGUGUAUCUAAAUUACCAGCAAAAAAGGCUAUUCAACGAAACUUUUACGAAAUAGGCACCGAUCGUCACCACUGCAACCAGCAAAACCGGCCACAAAGAAGAAUGACUCCCUUCUGCAUUGCCCCCACUUACGAUGGUUCCAUGAUGACCAGCGGCAUCGCAAACCUCCGCGAUACGGAACACUACCAACCAUAUCAUUUCAUUCAGUCAACACAGAAAAGCAACUCUUUUUGACCAUCAAGUGCUGGCAGGCUGCAGAUAGACCGCUUAGUCAUCCUUCGAAUCCUUAUGUAAUAAGUGGGGUUCUUUUUUCUUUGAAUUUUCAGGUUGUUUUCCUAAAUCAACAUGAGUUGUUCGAAUGAUGACUCUUUGUAUGCAAGACUGACGCGGGCUCGGAUUUCAGGAAGGAGUGUAAGACCCGCAAAAGAUCAAUAGCAGAAGAUAUCAGAAAAUUUCAUUGGGCAUUGACAAAAAUAAGCGGUUACGACAGAAAAUGGCCGUGCACAGUAUCAUGUAUGGAUACAGGAUACAAACGCUAUAACUACAAACGUCCUCAGCUUCGACUCCUAUCUCAGUGACAUUAGCGUGAAUACGAUAUCAAUAUCGAGGCGCGGUGUUCAUACAACUGGAUGAUAUUGACGAAGAAAAAACGUAUACUUGUGUUCUGACCGCCGACCUGGACCGGGCUACCGCCUUGGUAGAAAGGGGAAGGUUCAGCGAUGGGCAGGUAUAUGCCACUUCCCCCAAUGGACACACGCGGAUCAAAUAGGAUAACUAUGAACGAACCCCAUAGUACGAAAGACAAAUGGACACCAUCACUGCUAUACAUACUUGUAUUAGGUUCCGUUUCAACUGGUCAGAGCUGAUAUAGAAAACAGCCACCUUCCGCGGUAUAUGGUGGUAGGUGGCCAGUUCCGAGAA